CCGGGCGUUUGGGCGGGAAGCUGAGGCCCGGACUGGUGAGGUCCUGGAGAAGAGACCGACUGAGGGCGACUGGUAGGCUGCUUCCAGGCCCGUAUUGUCAGUGCCCCUGGCUGUCUCCAACUGGGCAGUAAUGGAAGAGGGUGGAAAUGGACUGAGGCUGAGGCCUCUUACAGUUGCCCUGGCGUGGCGCCGGGUUGGCGGCCGCCUCUCCGAGCCCACUGCUGAACCCGCUGAUCCCCAGACCGCCUGCCUGGGUCUUGAUGGCUGACUUGAGCUCGUGGUUCUCCCGAAUGAGCCGUACCAACUUCUUCAGUUCCUCAUUUUCCCGCACCAGCCUCUCAAUCUGAUGCCGCAGCCCCUCGUAAUUGAUGUUUCAGUGGCUGCAACGAUGGGCUCCAACAUAACAACGAUUGUGAGGAUGGCGCAGGACUGGGCAGUGUUUUGGUCUGUUGUGCAUAGGGUCGUAUGAAUUGGAACCGGACUCAACGGCACCUAACAACAACAGAUAUUUCAUAACCUCCAGAACAAUGCUAAGUUGAAGAGGUGAUAACAGACACCCAGCUCAUUCUCAGCCUCAGGAGGAAAGCUUUCAAUCAUCAUCUUAAGUAUGAUAUUUGCUGUAGAAUUUUUAUAAGUAUUCUUUAUUGGAUUAAGGAAGUUUUCAUCUGUUCCUAAUUUGCUAAGAGUUCUCAUCAUGAAUGCGUAGUGGACUUUAUGAAAUGCUUCUUCUGUGUCUAUGAAGAUGAUCUAUGAUUUCCCUCUUUCCCCCACUUAGCUUUUUAUUUGUAUAUUCCUUUGUCCCCAUUAUCAGCAAACCCUGGUGGCAUAGUGGUUAAGAGUUUUCGGGCAGUUCUACUCUGUCCUAUAGGGUUGCUAUGAGUCAGAAUCGACUCCACAGUGAUGGAUUUUGGUUUUGUUAUUAUCUUAUCCUAGAGAUUUAAAAAGUGUAUCCUUGAUUUGUUAAGUAAAUACUUUCUGCAUUAAAUAGUUUUCCCUUCCCAAACGAUGCCAGAAACUUAGAGCAGCUUCACUCUCCAUUUUUGUAUGAUUGCUGUCAUGUGUUUUACAUAGUUUGUAAAUUCCACAAGACAUUAUUGUUAUUAUGUUUUAAACAGUCAAAACACAUUUUUAGUUACUUUUUCUGAUGCCUUCAUUUCUUCCUGCAGUUUCUGAGAAUCUGAGGCUAUUUUCCUUUGGGCUUUAAAGAACACCUUUUAUUAUUCAUUUAGUGUAGGCCUCUUGGCUGUGAAUUCCUUCAGCUUUUUUUUCUUUUGAUAAAGCCUGUAGUUCAUCUUCAUUUUUGAAGGAUAUUUUCACUGGAUAUAGAAUUGUAGUUUGACAAUUUAUCUUUUCAACACUUUAAAGAAAUCAUUCCAUUGUUUCCUGGCUUUCAUCAUUUUUGUUGAGAAGACAGCUAUAUUAAUGCUGUUUUAUUUUGUUUGUUUUUAAGGUAAUGUGAAUAUUUUUUCUGGUUGCUUUAAAAUUCCUCUUUUUUUAAUAAUUUUUAUUGUGCUUUAAGUGAAAGUUUACCAAUCAAGUCAGUCUCUCACACAAAAACCCAUAUACACCUUGCUACACACUCCCAAUUACUCUCCCCCUAAUGAGACAGCCCGCUGUCUCCCUCCACUCUCUCUUUUCGUGUCCAUUUCACCAGCUUCUAACCCCCUCCACCCUCUCAUCUCCCUUCCAGGCAGGAGAUGCCAACGUAGUCUCAAGUGUCCACCUGAUCCAAGAAGCUCACUCCUCACCAGCAUCCCUCUCCAUCCCAUUGUCCAGUCCAAUCCAUGUCUGAAGAGUUGGCUUCGGGAAUGGUUCCUGUCCUGGGCCAACAGAAGGUCUGGGGGCCAUGACCAGCGGGGUCCUUUUAGUCUCAGUCAGACCAUUAAGUCUGGUCUAUUUAUGAGAUAAAAUUUCUCUCUUUUUUGACCAUUCCCUAAGCCAACUCUUCAGACAAAGAUUGUUGUUGUUGUUAGGUGCCGUCGAGUCAGUUUCAACUCAUAGCGACCCUAUGCACAACAGAACGAAACACUGCCUGGUCCUGCGCCAUCCUUACAAUCGUUGUUAUGCUUGAGCUCGUUGUUGCAGCCACUGUGUCAAUCCACCUUGUUGAGGGUCUUCCUCUUUUCCUCUGACCCUGUACUCUGCCAAGCAUGAUGUCCUUCUCCAGGGACUGAUCCCUCCUGACAACAUGUCCAAAGUAUGUAAGACACAGUCUCGCCAUCCUUGCCUCUAAGGAGCAUUCUGGCCGCACUUCUUCCAAGACAGAUUUGUUCGUUGUUUGGCAGUCCAUGGUAUAUUCAAUAUUCUUCGCCAACAAUUCAAAGGUGUCAACUCUUCUUCGGUCUUCCUUAAUUCAUUUUCCAGCUUUCACGUGCAUACGAUGCGAUUGAAAAUACCAUGGCUCGGGUCAGGCACACCUUAGUCUUCAGGAUGACAUCUUUGCUCUUCAACACUUUGAAGAGGUCCUUUGCAGCAGAUUUGCCCAAUGCAACGCAUCUUUUGAUUUCUUGACUGCUGCUUCCAUGGGUGUUGAUUGUGGAUCCAAGUAAAAUGAUUAGACUGGACUAUAAGACAAAAAAUGAUACUAGUGAAGAGUGUGCCUCUUUGUUCAAGUAGAUACACGAGACUAAAUGGGCAGCUCCUGUCUGGAGGUGAGAUGAGAAGGCAGAAAGGGACAGGAGCUGGUUGAAAGGACACAGGAAACCUGGGGUGGAAAGGAGUGUGCUGUCAUGAUAUGGGAUGGCAACUAGGGUCAUAUAACAAUGUGUGUAUAAAUUUUUGUAUGAGAAACUAACUUAACUGUAAACUUUCACCUAAAGCACAAUAAACUUCUCUCUUUUUUGAAUUUUCAUCAGUUUUACUACAAAGUUUAAAGGUGUGGUUUUCUUAAGUAUUCUGUUGGGGCUUGCAGGGCUUUCUCUGUGGGUUGGCACUUUACCAGUUGUUCUGGAUUGAAUUGUAUCCCCCCAAAAUGUGUGUCAACUUGGCUAGGCCAUGAUUCCCAGUAUUGUGGCCACCAUUUUGUCAUCUGAUGUGAUUUUCCUCUGUGUUGUAAAUCCUUUCUCUAUGCUGUUGACAAGGUGGGAUUAGCAGCACUCAUGUUAAAGAGGCAGGACUCAAUCUACAAGAUUAGAUUGUAUCUUGAGUCAAUCUCUUCUGAGAUAUAAAAAUCAGAAGCAAGCCAAGAGACAUGGGGGCCUCAUACCACCAAGAAACAAGAGCCGGGAGAAUAGCACGUCCUUGGGACCCAGGGUCCCUGCACUGAGAAGCUCCUCGACCAGGAAAGUUUGAUGACAAGGACUUCCUCCAGAGUCAACAGAGGGAGAAAGCCCUCCCCUGGAGCUGACACCCUGAAUUUAGACUUCUGGCCUACUAGACUGUGAGAGAA